AGGGUUCGAUCCUGGCUCAGAACGUACGCUGGCGGCACGCCUAACACAUGCAAGUCGAACGAAGUAGCAAUACUUAGUGGCAGACGGGUGAGUAACAUGUAGGUAUCUGCCCUUUGGCCUGGAAUAACACGAGGAAACUUGUGCUAAUACCGGAUAAGUCUUUACGGAGAAAGCUUUAUGCACCAUUGGAUGAGCCUGCACUUGAUUAGUUUGUUGGUGGGGUAAUGGCCUACCAAGACUGUGAUCAAUAGCUGAUUUGAGAGGAUGAUCAGCCACAUUGGGACUGAGACACGGCCCAAACUCCUACGGGAGGCAGCAGUGGGGAAUCUUGCACAAUGGAGGAAACUCUGAUGCAGCGAUGCCGCGUGAGUGAAGAAGGCCUUUGGGUUGUAAAGCUCUUUCGUCGGGGAAGAAAAUGACUGUACCCGAAUAAGAAGGUCCGGCUAACUUCGUGCCAGCCGCCGCGGUAAUUC
rnacentral:rRNA from 1 species